rnacentral:misc_RNA from 1 species
CGCCUGCCUGGGCGUCACGCCUCCCGUCGCUCCCCACAGCCGUGCGGAUGCGGAGAUUGGCCCGCCGUGCUCCGUGCGCGGCGGGUCGAAGUGCCGGCCGUCGUCGGGCCUGGCGCGGCGAAUGGUGGACGAAUACAUCGUUGUUUGUGCCUACUCUCCGUGUCCUUGCCCUCAACAAUGCGACAUGUCGUCGUCGGACCCCUCACCAUGGACCCUUCCGGCUUCCGAAUAAGAAGAAGGAACCGUCCUCGGAACGCGACCCCAGGUCAGGCGGGGCUACCCGCUGAGUUUAAGCAUAUCAAUAAGCGGAGGAGAAGAAACUUACGAGGAUUCCCCUAGUAACGGCGAGCGAACCGGGAACAGCCCAG